CCCUGCGGGCUGCCGCUGGACGAGGGGCAGUGCCAGCGCUACACCCUGCGGUGGUACUACAACCAAAGAGUCUCCCAGUGCCGGCCCUUCGUCUACAGCGGCUGCCAGGGCAACCUCAACCGCUUCGACAGCAAGGAGGAGUGUGAGCUGCACUGUGGGCAGCAGCCGGGGGCAGAUUCCCGUGGCAGUGCCGGCAGCAAGGUGGGAGAGCAGCCAAAGGUGUAGGUGCAGGCAGAGUCUGGGCAGGCAGGGCUGCCUGCAACUGGGGCCCAGCUGCUGCCCUGGCCGGGGCUGGGCUGCCCGUGGUGGCACCAGCCCCAGCAGGAACCUGGUGCUAUUUCUAACCUGUCUUUAUGCUGCUCAUGGGUUUUUCAUUUCAUAUCAGUUUAUUGUCAUUAAGGUGAAAUUUAUGUCAAAUGGGAAACUGCCUCCCACCAAGGUUCUGAACCCCCUUUCCCACUAGGCUGUUCUCAGUUUGACUUUUAAAUUAUUUGUUGCCAACAGAAUGGUUCUUAGCCCUGUUCCCUCUCUCUGGAAGCAGAGGUAGGACUUGGCAUAGUUGGGCUCCCUCCCCUCCCAUAAUAGCCUUGUACCCUUUCCUGCCCCCCAUAGGCCCCCAGACUCCCUCUCCACUCCCUGCUGGGAGGGCUGCCCACAUCCUUGUGCCAGGCAGUGCCACCCUGCACAACAUCCCCCACCCCCACCUGCAAUGAGCUCCAUCUGAAUAAAUUCCACCUUAACCUCAACUAGGGCCCAGUUCCCCUUUUGUGGCUGUGAUGGUUUGGCAAUGACCUGUGGGGAGACUGGAGUCUCUUGCCAUGUGCUACCCUCCAGCUCACACGCCUGCCAGCAGCACUUCUGGCUUUAAUCUGGGGGAUCUCACCUGCACCCCUGGCCUGUCAGGGAAACCCUGAGGAUGGUGCUAUGUUAGAAGAGGUUCCUGCUCGCCCAGUUACUCUCAAAGGCUUUGUGAAAGUAAUGUUGCAGCCACUGCUUCCCCCCAUCCCCAGGGCUGAGUAGGGACUGACUGCCCUGCCCCAGAGCCCCAGGGCUGCUGGGUGGGCUGCUGGUGGCCCCCACACAUACUGCUGUUCUCUGUGUGUAUCUAUAUACAGCAAAUGACUAUGUGUACUAAUGCAGGGGGGAUGUGGAUUAAAGCUGUGCUCACAGG